rnacentral:tRNA from 1 species
UCCUUAACCAAAGGAGCUAGUCCAAGCUAAGACUUCUAACUUCGACCUAGAAAAAUCACGAA